UACGAAGGGGGCUAGCGUUGUUCGGAAUUACUGGGCGUAAAGCGUGCGCAGGCGGCUGCUCAAGUCAGGGGUGAAAGCCCAGAGCUCAACUCUGGAAUUGCCUUUGAGACUGAGUGGCUUGAGUACGGGAGAGGUGAGUGGAAUUCCCAGUGAUAGAGGUGAAAUUCGUAGAUAUUGGGAAGAACACCGGUGGCGAAGGCGGCUCACUGGCCCGUAACUGACGCCUCAUGCACGACAGCGUGGGGAUCAAACAGG
rnacentral:rRNA from 1 species